GCCUUUUAAAAAAAAAUUUAGGUGCAUGCUUCAGUAGCACAUAUACUAAAAUGAUUGGCAUGGCCCUGUACAAGGAUGACACUCACAUUCAUGAAAUGGUCCAUAUUUUA